AUUGAACGCUGGCGGCAUGCUUUACACAUGCAAGUCGAACGGCAGCGCGGGCUUCGGCCUUGCGGCGAGUGGCGAACGGGUGAGUAAUACAUCGGAACGUGCCCAGUAGUGGGGGAUAGCUCGGCGAAAGCCGGAUUAAUACCGCAUACGACCUGAGGGUGAAAGCGGGGGAUCUUCGGACCUCGCGCUAUUGGAGCGGCCGAUGGCAGAUUAGCUAGUUGGUGGGGUAAAGGCCUACCAAGGCGACGAUCUGUAGCUGGUCUGAGAGGACGACCAGCCACACUGGGACUGAGACACGGCCCAGACUCCUACGGGAGGCAGCAGUGGGGAAUUUUGGACAAUGGGCGAAAGCCUGAUCCAGCAAUGCCGCGUGUGUGAUGAAGGCCUUCGGGUUGUAAAGCACUUUUGGCGGGAACGAAAAGGACUGUGCCAAUACCACGGUUCGAUGACGGUACCCGCAGAAUAAGCACCGGCUAACUACGUG
rnacentral:rRNA from 1 species